CACGCGUGCCCGAGCGAUGGCGCAGCCGGAUGUAAAAACGGGCUGAAGCGCGCUUGAAAAAGUUUUAAUUCUUUUUUUCCCCGAAAUAAACAUCGCUUGCAACGUCUGACUGCUCGAGCGAGCGCCCCGCCAUGGCGGCCCUGCGGCCGGAGAAACGGGCGGCGGGACGGGGCGCGUGCACGGCAAAAUAACGAGGCUGUGUGCUACGGUAUCGUCCGGUGCUUACAUACGCCACGAGCCAAUUUGUUUUAAAUGGAGAGGUAAAGAACUGUGAAGUUGUAGGAAUGUUUAAGGCCAUCGGAAAACCAGAGCCUGCAGGUUAACGAGAAGGGUUAAAGCCAUUUCAACAUCUAAUUAUUCAAAUGCCAUUUGGGGAGAGAAGGACAGCUUGUCCAUUCUAUAGUGACAACGUACACGAAGAUAACCUCCAACCCAAUCAAAUAAUCUGCCUAAAACAUAAGGAAUGUGGGAUGUAUGGAGAAGACU